AUUGGUGUCUAUACCACCUCUAGUCUAUUCAUUGGUGUUUAUACCACCUUUGGUCUAACUCUGUCAAUAAAAACAUACCAUUGUUACUAGAUUCGCUCAACCCCUUUGGAUAUCGUGGUAUGAGUUGCACGUUCCAAUUAGCGGAAUGUUUGCAUCCCUUAUUGCCAGGGGAUGUGAUCUAGGUCGGUAAAUUGGGAGUUCUGGCAAGCAAGAAAGGGGGAAAAAAAGG
rnacentral:misc_RNA from 1 species